AAUGAACGUUGGCGGCGUGGAUUAGGCAUGCAAGUCGAGCGAGAACCGGUUUCGGCCGGGGACAGCGGCGAACGGCGUAGUAAUGCAUCGGAACGUACCCUCUGGUCGGGGAUAGCUACGGGAAACUGUAGGUAAUACCCGAUGAUCUCUGCGGAGCAAAGGUGAGAUUCCGCCGGAGGAGCGGCUGAUGUGAUAUUAGCUAGUUGGUGGGGUAAUGGCCUACCAAGGCGAUGAUGUCUAGGGGGUGUGAGAGCAUGGCCCCCACGACCGGAACUGAGAUACUGUCCGGACACCUACGGGUGGCUGCAGUCGAGAAUCUUCCGCAAUGGACGAAAGUCUGACGGAGCGACGCCGCGUGCGGGAUGAAGGCCCUUGGGUUGUAAACCGCUGUCAGAGGGGAUGAAAUCUUCGGAGGUACUCCUCCGAAGUUGACAGAGCCUCAAAGGAAGCACGGGCUAAGUACGUGCCAGCCGCCGCCGUAAGAC
rnacentral:rRNA from 1 species